UUUUAUAACACAAAGUAUAUUCUUCUUAAGGUUGAUCGGAUCAGCUAAUAUGGUAUAUAAAAUAGCUAAAAACUCUCUCUCUUUUCCAGUGUUUUCUUCCUCCACCUCCCACAAGUAAAACCCUAGCCACUUCUGCUUCAGCCAACGGUGGUUGGCCUCCUGCCGCCGCCGUCGGCUGCCUUUUGUGUCUUCCUCCCUUUUCUUUCACUUUCUCACUUUCCUGUUUUCUCCGUAAAACUUAAACCCUGUCUUUUCGCCUUCGCCUUCUCGUCGGUUUGAAACGGCUGCAUUGUUGUCUAGGGUGAGGGUGGAGCGUUGGUUUGUAGGUCGGUGGGAAGGUUCUUGCUGGUGGUUCGAUGGUGAUUAGGUUUCAGAUCUGGGUCAGAUCUAGGAUUUCCGACGGAUCCGUGAGCCGAUUUCGUCAUUGUCUCUGUGUUUUCUCGGCUUGGGGUUUUGCUUCUGGGAUGUCAACUUAGUUCUAGUCUUUCGAGGUUGGAUCUAUGUCAGUUUUGCUUCCCCUGAAGCUUUUCUCGGGAGUAAUAGUGAUUUGGCUGCCUGCGAGAGUCACCUUUUGUCUGAUGUAGUGGGGGACGUGGCUAGGUCUCUCGCUUUUCCAAGUUCUGGUGGUGCAUCAGAGCUAAGGUGGACUUGCUUCAUGAGUUGUUUCUCAUUGAAGCUGAGUGUGGGGCUUCUCUGCUGGAGUGGAAAUCAGCCACUGGUUCUCAGUGGUUGGGGUGUGCGAGGCUGACGGGUCAGGAGUUGUCAACCAGAGUCGUCUUUCUCUGUGGUAGCUCGUGUGUGGUUCUUUCUUCUUCCUUUGGUGGCGUCUGGAGGUUGCGGGUUGGUCGUGUUUCCUCGUUUUGUAGUAACAGUAGUGUGGCAGAUGAUCUUUUGCUAUCCUUCCAAAUAAGAGCUUCUAUUAGCUUUGUUUGACUAGAAGCAGUUUCUCAAGACUUCUAGAGGUUCUUCUAGUUGACAAUGUGAGCAGCGAUCCUUUCAACCAGAGGGUGUCCUCAGUGGAGGAGCAUACUUCUUAUGUGGUGGUGCGGAAUCGCUAUCUGUGCUGCAAAGACUCCCACUAGAUCGGCAAGGUUGUGGCACGCGUCCGAGCCUUUAUCCAGAGUCUCCGAUUUGUAUCGGGCUGAGAAGUCUACUUAUUGUGCAUACGUGGAGGUCCCAAAGGGCGUUUGUGGUUGUUUGUUUUGUUUUGUAGGAUAUCAACGUUGGGGUAGCAAUGAAACUGUAGGAGUGGAGACAGUUUUGAGGAUGGGCCUUUCUCUGUGGCUCGCGGCAACAAAGUUUGUUUCAACUUAGUGAUUCCGAUGGGCAAGACAUAAUAGACAACAUUUACAGGGUGAUCUAGUUUUGUUUUGUGGGUGACUUGUUCUCUUGAUUCCCAUUGUCUUGUAGUUGUAUUUUUUCAGUUUGUUUUUCUGUAGUUUUUAUUUGUUUGCUGCUACUAGUUCUUUUUGUAAUUUAUGUCACAAAUCAUAAAAUGAUAAUAAAGUUUUAACAUGUUU
rnacentral:lncRNA from 1 species